rnacentral:rRNA from 1 species
AAUGGCCUUAGUACGGCGAGUGAGCGGCAAAAGCUCAAUUUGAAUCUGGUACCUUCGGUGCCCGAGUUGUAAUUUGGAGAGGGCAACUUUGGGGCCGUUCCUUGUCUAUGUUCCUUGGAACAGGACGUCAUAGAGGGUGAGAAUCCCGUGUGGCGAGGAGUGCGGUUCUUUGUAAAGUGCCUUCGAAGAGUCGAGUUGUUUGGGAAUGCAGCUCUAAGUGGGUGGUAAAUUCCAUCUAAAGCUAAAUAUUGGCGAGAGACCGAUAGCGAACAAGUACAGUGAUGGAAAAGAUGAAAAGAACUUUGAAAAGAGAGUGAAAAAAGUACGUGAAAUUGUUGAAAGGGAAGGGCAUUUGAUCAGACAUGGUGU